rnacentral:rRNA from 1 species
UACGGGGGGGGGUAAGCGUUGUUCGGAAUUACUGGGCGUAAAGGGCUCGUAGGCGGCCAACUAAGUCAUACGUGAAAUCCCUCAGCUUAACUGGGGGAACUGCGUGUGAUACUGGAUGGCUUGGAUUUGGGAGAGGGAUGCGGAAUUCCAGGUGUAGCGGUGAAAUGCGUAGAUAUCUGGAGGAAUACCGGUGGCGAAGGCGGCAUCCUGGACCGAGAUUGACACUGAUGAGCGAAAGCUAGGGGAGCAAACGGG